CGGGCGGCAGCUCUGCUCGCCCUCGAAGUAGAAGAGCACAUUCUGGUAGAGGGCGAACCACUUCUCGUGCCAGCGGCUCGCCUCGGCCGUCUUCUUACUCAGGAAGCCGCGCUUGGUGCCCUCCUUGCGCGCCAGGAAAGCCAGGCUCAGCUUUCUCAUCACUAAAUUGGAGAUACAGGAGUUGGAGACUUGGAAUCCCCUUUGGUGCAGAAACUAUUCCUUCAAGAGAAGUCCUUAAAUAGGCUCUUUAGAGAAGAGGCCACAUUUUGAAGGCAGCAGGGUCAGAAGAUGGAAGAACCAGGGUCCUUGCAACAUCGGUUAGCUUUGAGUUGCUGGGGGCAGCCUAACCCACAUGGAAUUGUGACAUAAGAAACAAAGCAACUAUUAAAUCAAUGAGAUAUUGGGCUUCUUGUUGUAGCAACUAGUAUAAAUUGCCCUGACUGAUACAUUAUGGAUUUAGAAUGCACUGUACUACAACUGUUUGUUGUAUUUUCAAAAACAGGUUUAUUGUGGUAUAAUUGACUUACAAUAAACUUCAUUUAUUUAAAGAGU